rnacentral:rRNA from 1 species
GACGAACGCUGGCGGCGUGCCUAAUACAUGCAAGUCGAACGCAGUGGGGACGGGUGAGUAACAAGUGGGUAACCUCCCAUCAGAGGGGAUAACACUUGGAAACAGGUGCUAAACCGCUACUGAUGGAUGGACCCGCGGUGGAUUAGCUAGUUGGGGAGGUAACGGCUCACCAAGGCCACGAGGCAUAGCCGACCUGAGAGGGUGACCGGCCACACUGGGACUGAGACACGGCCCAGACUCCUACGGGAGGCAGCAGUAGGGAAUCUUGGGCAAUGGACGAAAGUCUGACCGAGCAACGCCGCGUGUGUGAAGAAGGUUUUCGGGUCGUAAAACUCUGUUGGUAGGGAAGCGGUAUCUACACAGAAAGCCACGGCUAACUACGUGCCAGCAGCCGCGGUAAUUC